rnacentral:lncRNA from 1 species
UUCAGGAGGCUUCACAUGGUCCUCACUGAUAUGCCAUGCAACAAGAUGUGUGGAUGUGGCGCUUGAAGACAUGGUUUAGUGGUGGGUCUGGCAGAGCUGGACUCAAUGAUCUCAAGGGUCUCUCUCGACCUAAAUGAUCCUGUGAUUCUAAGAUGAUGUGAGACCUCUGGUAGGAGAAGAGGGAGGCCAGGACUCCUGACUGGGAGCUGGUUGCAAGUGAAAGUGAUUUGAAAAUUACCUGAUGGGAAAUGUCAUGUGUAGAUAAAAGGAGCAGAUGGGGUUGUUUAUUCUUAGCUGUCUAUGUGAGUUUUAAGCUGGGGGACCUUUCCAUGGCUGUGACCUAAAGAUUUCUGUCUUUUAUUUUUUUAUAUGAUCCUCUGAAAUGACUGUCCUUCAGCUCUUGAACUUCUGCCCUUCCAUAGGGGCCCCUUCAGUAGAAGUGGAUGAGGUGAUAUGACCUGGCUUUUCCUGGCAGCCUGCUCAGAAGGUGCAGCUGUGGAAAAUGAAACAUCUCCUUAUCUGGUACAAGGUCAUGCUAUGGGGAUACAGGCUUCUCUUCUGUGUCUUGUCAGCCUCAAAGGAAAUUGGACAGGAGGUUGGCUGAAAGUGUACCAGAGCUCUACAGGGAUUUCUUGUGCCUUUUCAAGGAAGGAUUUGCUGUGUUCUAGAAUGUGUAAAUAUUGUUCAGGGCUUGUUUUGUUUUGUUUUUUAUCUCAAAUGCUUGCCAAGGAAAUAGAACUGCGCAAACAUAAUUAGCCAGAGGCUGAACAUUUAAUCUUAAAUUCUGAGUCUUCAUUAAGUCUUAAUUUAAACCUUAGGAGGGAAGCUUGCAACCAUUCCUGUUCAUAAGAGUGGAU